GACGAACGCUGGCGGCGUGCUUAACACAUGCAAGUCGAACGGAAAGGCCCUGCUUUUGUGGGGUGCUCGAGUGGCGAACGGGUGAGUAACACGUGAGUAACCUGCCCUUGACUUUGGGAUAACUUCAGGAAACUGGGGCUAAUACCGGAUAGGAGCUCCUGCUGCAUGGUGGGGGUUGGAAAGUUUCGGCGGUUGGGGAUGGACUCGCGGCUUAUCAGCUUGUUGGUGGGGUAGUGGCUUACCAAGGCUUUGACGGGUAGCCGGCCUGAGAGGGUGACCGGCCACAUUGGUACUGAGAUACGGCCCAGACUCCUACGUGAGGCAGCAGUGGGGAAUAUUGCACAAUGGGCGGAAGCCUGAUGCAGCAACGCCGCGUGCGGGAUGACGGCCUUCGGGUUGUAAACCGCUUUCGCCUGUGACGAAGCGUGAGUGACGGUAAUGGGUAAAGAAGCACCGGCUAACUACGUG
rnacentral:rRNA from 1 species